rnacentral:rRNA from 1 species
UACGUAGGGUGCAAGCGUUGUCCGGAAUUAUUGGGCGUAAAGAGCUCGUAGGCGGUUUGUCGCGUCGAAUGUGAAAACCCGGGGCUCAACCCCGGGCCUGCAGUGGGUACGGGCUGACUAGAGUGCGGUAGGGGAGACUGGAAUUCCUGGUGUAGCGGUGAAAUGCGCAGAUAUCAGGAGGAACACCGGUGGCGAAGGCGGGUCUCUGGGCCGAUACUGACGCUGAGGAGCGAAAGCGUGGGGAGCGAACAGG